UGGAGAACAAUACAUCCAGGAAGUCCUUUGGCGCGUACAGUGGCCGAUAUUGCGACAGAUCUGAAAAGCAUGUCCUGUAAACAAGCAGAAACUAACUCUUCUCUAUCAACGGUGGGUCUUAUACGAGCCAGAGGAAUGUUCAAUUCGCUGCAUGUUGAGUUCAAUGAUUUUUGUAUGCGUCGUUCCCAUUGAAUUUGAGUUUUCUUUAGAUAACUCAGGUCAGCUGUCUGUAUAUGUGAAACUGACCGAGAGUGUAAUGAACCCUACAAAGAAAGAAAGUUUAGGCCGUUAUCCUUGAGCGCUGUCAUCAGCGAGUUCUUGAAAUCGUCCUUAUCCACAGCGGGCGACGCGACGAGUUUCUGCGAAAGACAAAUUGGGAAUGCAAUGCAAUGAGCC